AAACAUGGCGCCAGCUCUGCCUGCCCGGUCAUGUGGCCCCGUCGGCUGCCCCGCCUACCCCGCGAUGGCGGCGCCCUGUGCGGUGUGGCUGGGGGACCCGGUGGAGCGGGUGCCGUGCCCUUACGACGUCCAUCACCUCGUCCCCCGGGCGUCGCUGGAGAGGCACGCCGCGUCCUGCCGGCUCCGCAAGAUGGGAUACUCCGCCGAGGAGGAGGCGGAGAUGUACGACUCCAGCUUUUUCUACGACAACCUGAAGGUUCCCAGCGUCGCCAUGGAUAAAGAUCUACAGUUUCACAUUGUUAAGCAAGCUAGAGCCCAAAGUGCAAAAGAAGGUACAGGCUUCAGUGAAGGAUCUUACUCAUUACUGCCUGUAGAAGUUCCUCAAAAUCACAAGCGUUUCACCUGUGACCUGACCCAAGCCGAUCGCCUCACUCUUUAUGAUUAUGUUGUUGAGGAAACAAAGAAACAGAGGUCUAGAUCCCAAAUCACGGAAAAUGACAGUGAUCUCUUUGUGGAUUUAGCAGCAAAAAUCACCCAAGAUGAUAGUCAGAAAGGUCCGAAGUCCCAUCUUGAAAUUCUGGCUGAAAUGCGAGACUACAAAAGGCGGCGGCAGUCCUACAGGGCUAAGAAUGUUCAUAUAACAAAGAAGUCUUACACUGAGGUGAUUCGGGAUGUGAUUGGUGUGCAUAUGGAAGAACUCAGCAAUCACUGGCAGGAGGAGAAUCGGUUGGAUAAUGCAGAGAUGUGUGAAGGAGGGAAGUCAAAAUCUUCAGGAAGAAGGGAAGAGAGGCGGUCAGCGUCAGUGGACUCGCGGCAGUCUGGAGGGAGCUGCAAGGAUACGGAGCGCACCAGACACAGGCGAGACACGAGCAGGAGUCCAAGUAAACGAAAAAGGAGCCGCGAAAGAGGCAAAGACAGAGAUUCUCGGAGAAAAAGAGAGAGGGAUGAAGACAAGUAUCACAGCCAUAAAAGAAGAAAGUAGAAACAAGAACCUGAUUAUUUUGUUUGUCAGCCAUUCAAAAAGUUACUUGCAGAGGAACUGUCAUUCCUGCCGUUGUGCCAGGGACAGUGACACUGUGUACAAAAUACUGGUGUUGCAUCAGAGCUGCGCUUGGAGUCAAAAAUGAAAUGGUGUUAAGUUGAGUUUAGUCUGACAAGGUUGAAGAAUGAAAUCUGCGAGGGGCUGUACUAAUUUGCUUUCCUGGCCCGUAGUUGGUGGAUAUAGAACAGAGCCAGUCCCUGGAGUCUAGGAAGAAUUACAAAUGGAAAAGGCAUGAAGAGAGCUCCUCGGCUUCCCUCCCACCUAAGGGUGCUUGGAAUAUUGCUGACUGCCAUUUUCAAACACCAGCUGCAUACCCAUUUCCUUCCAGAAAUAACCAGGAGAAGUUCCCAUCCUAUAGAUUAACAUUUCUCCUCCAUGGACAUUUAUGCUGAUUCCAUACGCAUCAUUCCUCUAUCAUCCUCUCUCUCAUGGUCCAAGCUCCCUGCAGACAUGUUUGCUCUUCUACUGCCAUUCCAGUAAACUGAGGACCUAGCCCUCUUCCUGGUUAAGUUCCUUGACCACAAGCUGAUGGAGGACAGAAAUAAACAUACAAGCCACUUUGCCAGCUGCUGCAAAAACAAUUACCAUUCUCUAAAGUCCAUUUGCCUUACUUGGUCUAUGGCCUACAUCACAUGCAGUCAUAUAUGGUCAUUUGCUUUUGGAUACAAGGGCUCCUGCUGUGAAGGUACCUUGCCAAGCACGCUGCACCCAAGUGCCAGAAACUUCAUCCAUUCCACCUCCUCACCGAAGUCGUCCAACUGCAGGAUAGUGUCCAGCUGCUCCUCUGACAAGCACAAGUGCUUC